rnacentral:rRNA from 1 species
UACGGAAGGCAGCAGUGGGGAAUAUUGCACAAUGGGCGAAAGCCUGAUGCAGCUAUGCCGCGUGUAUGAAGAAGGCCUUAGGGUUGUAAAGUACUUUCAUCGGGGAGGAAAAACAAAACUAAUAAUUUUAUUUCUUGACGUUACCCGAAAAAGAAGCACCGGCUAACUCCGUGCCAGCAGCCGCGGUAAUACGGAGGGUGCUAGCGUUAAUCAGAAUUACUGGGCUUAAAGAGCACGUAGGUGGUUUUUUUAAGUCAGAUGUGAAAUCCCUGGGCUUAACCUAGGAACUGCAUUUUGAAACUGAAAUACUAGAGUAUCGUAGAGGGAGGUAGAAUUCUAGGUGUAGCGGUGAAAUGCGUAGAUAUCUGGAGGAAUACCUGUGGCGAAAGCGGCCUCCUAAACGAAUACUGACACUGAGGUGCGAAAGCGUGGGGAGCAAACAGGGAUUAGAUACC